rnacentral:misc_RNA from 1 species
CAGGUGACCCCGGUCUAACCACCGGGAUGUUCAUAACCCUUUGUUGUCCGACUCUGUUGCCUCCGGGGCGACCCUGCCUUCGGGCGGGGGCUCCGGGUGGACACUUCAAACUCUUGCGUAACUUUGCAGUCUGAGUAAACUUAAUUAAUAAAUUA